GAACGGCAGCACAGAGGAGCUUGCUCCUUGGGUGGCGAGUGGCGGACGGGUGAGGAAUACAUCGGAAUCUACUCUGUCGUGGGGGAUAACGUAGGGAAACUUACGCUAAUACCGCAUACGACCUACGGGUGAAAGCAGGGGAUCUUCGGACCUUGCGCGAUUGAAUGAGCCGAUGUCGGAUUAGCUAGUUGGCGGGGUAAAGGCCCACCAAGGCGACGAUCCGUAGCUGGUCUGAGAGGAUGAUCAGCCACACUGGAACUGUGACACGGUCCAGACUCCUACGGGAGGCAGCAGUGGGGAAUAUUGGACAAUGGGCGCAAGCCUGAUCCAGCCAUACCGCGUGGGUGAAGAAGGCCUUCGGGUUGUAAAGCCCUUUUGUUGGGAAAGAAAUCCAGCUGGCUAAUACCCGGUUGGGAUGACGGUACCCAAAGAAUAAGCACCGGCUAACUUCGUG
rnacentral:rRNA from 1 species